CGAACAUCGAGUGAAAGCUCGAGGCUUUCUCUCGGCCAGGCGUGAUGAGACUCUCACUGUCUUACAGUAGUCAUGGUCCUUCAGCUCUGCACCACCUGCAGGACUGCAGCGAGGCGGCGGUCCAGAGCAGAGAGAUGUGCUUCAGACAGCAGGGGGGCCACACCAGCUAGAGGGUCCUGGGGAAGGGAGUCCCGCAUGACAUCGCUCAGACGGAAGCUUGUGAGGGACAAGAGGCGCAAGCGGAGGAGUGUGGAGCGACGGAUCCUACAAGCAUAGCUUACAUAAUUAUACAGCACUGCAGCCGGCUCUUCCAGUUUGGACGUGGAUGGAAUACUUCAAAUAUUGGCCUGAUGGAAACAGUUUUAUUCUCCCCAUAAUGCAUUAUUCAUGUAAAUAAUAAUGAAUCAU